ACUUGGACCAAGAAUAUGUUGGUAAUUAUUGCAUCCUUUUACUCUUCUUAAUUUUAUGCUUUCAAUGUUGUUUUGUUUGGUGGUGACAUUCAAUGUUAUUUAAACACAACCCCAUCCACUUCACUUAUUCAUUCCACUUCUUUCAUCUCAAACUUGUAACCUUCCACUAACUUCCGGUUUUCUUUCACUCAUUCCCUUACUCACAAACAAAAAUCUUAAAUUGUUUUUUCUUCAUUUCUUUUUCUCAAUUAUUUCUCAUCCAUCUCUUUCAACUCUAUCAUAUUCAUCUUCAUCUAUCAUUUAUCUCCCUCUCACCAAUCUUACAAAUAUAUUCCCAUGUGAUAUAUGCCACAAUGUGAGAGACUCACAUGGUCAAGUUAUUUUGCUUCAACUUUUUUUCUCAAGUAUGGAGGAGCCUCACGACAAGGAGAACACAACAUCGUUGGAGGCAAGGUGUGCAUUGACCGUCAAGGCUGUAACCUUGGGCAUGGGUGGAAUCGGUAAACAGUGCAGAAGCACCACUAGAUGGCUAUGCUGAUAAUAUAGGAUUUAUGAAUGAAAACUCAGCCGCCUUUAAAGCCCUUCUUGUAUACAUAGAGCAUCGAUACUAUGGGAAAUCAGUACCAUUUGAAUCAAGGGAGGAAACAUUCAAGAAUGCAAGCUCUAUUGGGUAUUUCAGCUCGGCACAGACACUUGAAGAUUAUGCGGAAGUGCUCAUACAUAUUAAGAAAACACUAGACCUCUACCCGGGCAAUAGUUGUAGAGUUAUUUCUAAUAAUAGUUAUACUUUUAAAAAAUAGAGUUUGUUCAUAUAUUCGUAAGAAUGUCUAUCCUAUUUGCUGUGAGUUCAAUAUAAAAAGUGUGUGAUGAACA